CAGACUGUGUGCCUCCAUUCUCUGUUAGCCGACAUACAAUCUAUCAUAAGUUGGCUGACAUGCUCACACAAUUUGUUUGCUUGGGACAGAAAUUAAGCAUUGAAACUAUGUUCCACAUGUGUGCUUAGCAUCACAUAAUUCAUAGCAAACUCAGCCGUGUACAAAUCUAGGUUCACCUAUGUAGCAUAUCUGGUUAAAUUUCACAUAUGUGAUUGCAAGUUCCAUCGACAAAUAUGUCCACACAAGUUCCUAAAGAUAAUACUCUACCAUAUCUAGAUCAUACUACUCUACUCUCUACUGUUGCCAAAAGACACAAUAAAACCCAUCCAUAGCCUUUGGUCUUCUUCGCCCUUGGGCCUCGGCGCAUUUGAACAGUACAGCAACAAGAGGCAAAUGAACAUACCAUCAAGGGUCACCUGGUAAGAGUUUUGCACAUUAUGUUAAUUCCCGCAAAGUAAAAAGUGCAAAAUAACAAAGCGGCACAUAUUUGUAGAAGGUAAAAGGUACAAGAACUUGCAGAAACUCGCUGUGCGCCCAAGCGUAAGUGGUCUCAGUAUCACAGACAUACUAUAGCUAUAUCCAGUACAUCAUUUUCCCAUUCAAAAUUCAUAAAGCCAAGCCUAUUUUAUUCAACAUCUUAGUGAAUAGCAAGUCUAUCACUUGGUUGAUUAAACAGAGCAAAGAAUCUAGAACUCUGGUCAGACUUCAUCAGGUGAGAUCAAACCUUAACCUUAUAAUCUACCUGAGACCCUGAUUUAAUAGUUGACAAUAUAUAAGCACAAUCAAAUGUAAAAUGGUUUAGACAAAGAACUAGAGAAAAUAUUAUUAUGCAUGAUAUGAAUCUGUUUAGUAGGUUUUACUAUGUUUGUCUAAAAUAAGUGAAAUUUAAGAGUUGAGCUGAAAAAUACGCAUAUAAUAGCUUACUGUUGUAUUUCAAAGUAAAGUGGCAACAGGCAAGCCUCAUGCAACAUACAAAAAUUAAAAAGGGAUGCCAUUUAUAUACCAUACAUCAAAAUCAUAAAUGUAAAGUGAAAUUUCUUUCGUGCAAUAGAUGUGAAGAUACUACAAGAAUUUAAACCACUAUUCAUAGCUGAGCUAUUGUGAAAGGAGCUUUUGGAUUUACUUUUGUUCCCUCCACUAGGCAUAUAAGAUGUGACAUAUGAUGGAAACAAAUUUUCAGCUACAUAUAUGGUAGAAAAUGUGCGGUAACUGAAAGUGCUAAUAACAUGUGAAAGGAGUAGUAAAAUUACAACCCCAACAUGCCCACAAACAACAGAAAUGUUGCUAUCUCUGGGGUCAAGUCCAAGAAGCUCUUCCUGUAGAUAGAUAAGGACAUUAAUAGGAAUUUGAGAAAAAACCCACAAAGAAACUAGUAAUAUAAUAGGGCACUAUGGCAAACUAUUUUGAAGCACACAACACAAAUCUAUUCGCUCUUACUACAUCAAGUGUUUUCAUCCCUAAUAGGAGCUUCAGAACAUGUUCCAUAAUUUUUUUAAUACUUCAGCAGACUCAAAUGAACAGAGAAAUUCAUGUAGAAUAAUAAUUGUACUAAAAUUACAUAAUGCUAGAACACACCAAAGAUAAUGAUAUGGGCAAAUCCGUUUUUUCACAUUAAGCAUGCGAAAUAAUAAUAUGCGUACAAUAGAGCUCAUGUAUUUGGGAAAAUAAGAAAUGUAUUUGCUGACCAGCAGAUCAUAGAAUUAAAUGUGAACAAGCUUAAAAAGAUCAUUCAAUUGCAGAAAAACUAUUUGCUGGUUAUACCUGAGGGGGAAAGUUAUUAUUGUCCGGCCUGCUGUUUGUCCUGGUCAACGACCUGAACUCAAACCUGUCUUCUCAUGCUGCAGUUCAGAGGAAAGAAAAUAUGGAGUAAGAAGAAUUAGAGCACAUAAUGAGACAAAGGGUGACAAAGGCACGAUGAGAGGGGAUCCGUCGCCGCUGCCGUUCACCAGAGCUAGGUGAGAAGAGGAUGAUAGACGGUGGAAUUGUGAAUUAGCUUUUGUGAUUACCUACUACUAUCACUAACUUUGUUAAUUGGCAUCUCAGUAAAGAUAGUUCCUAUUGUUGUGUGCUGGUAACAAAGUAGAAAAUUGCACAGCACAUGGAUGAUGCACCUGAACCUGACUAGGGAACACUGAAGCAAGCAUGGAAGCAUGGAAACAUCCACAAUAAUAGCAAAGCAUGGAUGAAUAAGCCUAGGAAAUCAUGUAACUACUUGAUUAGUUUAUUUAUCACUUCAAAUCAACAACUUAUUUAACUUCCUCCAACCGUGUGCAGUGUAGGGAAAUCCACGACAAUUACAAAGCAUGAAUAAGCCUAGGAAAUCAAUCAAACACUUGAUUUUCAGCCUGUGUGGUGGAAAAGCAUGGAGGGGAGCUUACCAGACGUGUUGUGGUCAUGAGAAGAGAAUGGGUCCGUAGAUCUCAUCACUUGGCAGUCGUUGAUGAAGCAUGCAGUAGAUCUAAUUUCAUUCCUCACGCGGCAGCUCCAAUCGAUCCCCAUCACCUAACCCGUGAAUCUGCAACUAGGAGAACAAUAUAAAUAAAAUAAAAAACGAAAACCAUAGGGGAACGAGAUGGAAGUCAGGCUCAAAUCCGAGGUUGCGAGGUGGGUUCUUGUUGUAGCGUGCCCAAACCCUGGGGAGGGCGACACCACUUUGAUUCAGAAGGGGAGGGAAGGAUCUGGCCAUGAGAGAGGGAGGUGGGGUGGCUACCAAACAACGUGAAGGGGUCGGCGUCGAUGGGGUGGUGAGGCAGCGGUGGGCGGUGUCGGUGACGGCGUGCCGGCGGCGGUGGGCGGUGCCGGUGACGGGGUGCCGGCGGUGGCGAGCUGAGUAGAGGCAGGCGGCACACGGGUGAGGAGAGGAGGUUCCUUCGGUGGGGUGAGGCAAGGAGUUUCUGUAGGGGGGAGAGGGAGGUGGUAGAGAGGCGAUGGCCGGUGACGCCGACAUGGCUGUGGCGGCGGAUGGAUGGGUAGAGGCGGGCGGCGCACGGUGAGGAUAGGGAUGAUACGGUGGAUUUGUGAUUUAGGUAUAUACGCAAGGGGGGAAACGGUGGGGCUGCGUGGCUUCUUCUACCAGAGACUCAGAAAUUUUCGUUCAAAAGAGCCCGCCUCAUUUUCAGUUCGGCGCGAACAUUUCAU
rnacentral:lncRNA from 1 species